rnacentral:rRNA from 1 species
GACGAACGCUGGCGGCGUGCCUAAUACAUGCAAGUCGAACGCACUCUCGUUUAGAUUGAAGGAGCUUGCUCCUGAUUGAUAAACAUUUGAGUGAGUGGCGGACGGGUGAGUAACACGUGGGUAACCUGCCCUAAAGUGGGGGAUAACAUUUGGAAACAGAUGCUAAUACCGCAUAAAACCUAACACCGCAUGGUGUAGGGUUGAAAGAUGGUUUCGGCUACCACUUUAGGAUGGACCCGCGGUGCAUUAGUUAGUUGGUGAGGUAGAGGCUCACCAAGACCGUGAUGCAUAGCCGACCUGAGAGGGUAAUCGGCCACACUGGGACUGAGACACGCCAGACUCCGUACGGGAGGCAGCAGUA